GAGUUGAUCGAGUUGUCCUGUUAUUUCGUUUCACAAUUUUUCUUAUUUGGUUUAAUGGAAAUAAUUUGUAUUAUUUAUAAUUUCAUUCUAAAUUUCAAUCCAUUUUAUCCACGUAUAUGUGAAAUUUUAAAUCUGCUGAACGCUAAACAUAAUGGACAUUGAAGAAGGUGAAAUAUUAAUUUCAGAUGUUUCAUCUGAUGAAGACAAAGAGUGUCAACCUCAACCUUGCAGCCGUGAUAGAUUUCGUGUCCUACAAGAUAGGCCUUUUUAUCGUUAUCACAAUAUCUCCCAAUCAAAUUCUAUUUCUUCACCCCAAGAUUUGAAGAGGCUACACAAUUGCAGCGAGGAUAGUUUUUGCCGUAAAACAUUUAGGGUCUGUCUGGUAAAUCCAACUUCUGAAAGACAGUACAAUAACAGGUUUAGAAAUAGGCGUGGAUCUAUCAGAGAUGGAAAUGUUUCCAAUGAUUUUGUGUCAAGAACAACAAACCAAAAACAGUUGUCAAGGCCUAAUUAUAAGAGCUAUCCCGAUCAUAAUCGUAAUCAUGAAAGUCACAAAUCUAAAAAACGGAAACGAAAAAGGUUUGGAAAGAAUAGGCCUACACCAGACAACUCUCAAUAUCAAUAUCAUUGUGAGAGUCGCUCAACUGUUACUUCAGCUACUCAAUUAUCAUCCAUACCUAGUUCAACUGUCGUAACUCAUGAAAAUACUUCACUAAUGCAAAAACUGAUCACUUCAGGCUUAGCCAAGCCACCAAAUGCAACUGAGUCUAGUUCAGAAAUGGAUAAUGUUAUUAAGAAGGAAAUUACAAUCAGCGAUAAUGUUGAGAGUAAAGAUUACAGUGAUGAUAGUGAAAUUGAAGUAAUCAUACCUCCCAAAAAAAUUCCACCUUUAGUUACUUUAGAUUCAGAUGGUGAAGAAAUGGAACAGUUAUCACAAAGUAACCCUGAAAAAGACAAGAGUUGUACAAGCACUCUUGAUGAUAACCAGAAUCCUCCAUUGAACGUGACUCCUGCUACAAAUGAAGAGACUGAUGUAAGUAAUAACUUGGCACUCAACAAAAACGGAGUUAAUGAAAACCUUGACUGUAUUGAAGUAACAGCUAAUGGCUCGCCCAUCAGCCAAGUAUUUGAGUCCAAUGAUUCUCCAGACUCGUUAUCCUCAGAGUUGUGCAUGUCACUGUCAUAUUCCCCCUCCAGCCCAUCAUCAGUGAGUGGUUGUGAGAAUAACAUAACCAGCAAUCUGAACCGCCAAUCUUCAGUGGGCAACAACAAAAGACCUGCUCAUUUUUCAAAAUUUGAAAGUGACACCCGUAUAGAUUGUUCUUCCGCUAGUAGUGAAGAAAUUAGUUCAGAAAUUUGGUUGGACCAAACUGAAAAUCAAAAUUCUGGAAAUUUAGAAAACAAUCACUCUCCUGAAAGUCAAAUUGUUAAUCAAAAGGAGACUGACAAUAAAGCAAGGGAAAGGAGAAAUAGUUUGAGCAAUGAAAAUUCUCUUUCAGUUUUGGUGGAAGAUUUCAUAAUGAUGUCAACAACUACGGCAAAGGAACAGCAGCAGGACAUUGUCCUUAUUGGUGAAUCAAAUGCAACCGGACUUGAAACUAAUGGAAGUGUUUCAAAUGAUGAUCAGGAACCAUACAGCCCAUCUUCAGAAUACAGUUAUAAACCCGUCAAUGACAAAAAUAGUAAAACAUUCUCUACUGGUAAAGAAUCUACUUCGUAUCUAAUUCCAAAAUUAACUUUAGGUACAUUUAUCCCUAAAGAUAACUGCAUUGAAACAAUUACUCCUGGUGCUCCCUCAAAACUAAUUGUCAAACCAGUUGAGCCCAGAAAAGAUCAAGUAAAUCUAGAUGAGAAUAAUCGCAAACAACAUAAUAUUGAUGAUAAUGAAAAUGAUGAAGAUAAUGUUUCCCAGCUUAGGAUGAUUGCAUUACAAACCAAAAAGAAAACAACGCAAGAGGAAACUCAAUCAGAUUCUAAUGAUAAAAGUACAUCUCAAACAGCUUUAGACCAAAUUGACGAAGAGAUUGCUGAGCCAGAAUCCUCAGAAGCUCCUUGUGGCUUAAAUGAAGAUGACGAUGUUUUACAAUUACGUGUUGCUGCACUGAAAUCAGCUGUCAUGAAAAAGUACGGUGAGCGCAAGAAGAAAGGACUGGUUGUUAAAAAACGGAAGAGGGCUCCUUCUGGAUUUGGGGAUGACAUAUUUUCUGUUCAUGAAAGCAACACAGCUCUGGACCAAGAAAACACAACACCUCUUUCACCAAAUAUAUCGUCAACUUCUGUUCAAGGUGAAGAGGAUAUGGAGUUGGCUGAAUCAGAUCUUGGAGAAGAUGUUAUUGAAGAGCUUCCUGAAACUUCAGUUGUUGAAAAACCAAAACUGUUUGCACCUGUUCAUUUAGGCUUAAAACCCCUGUAUGAUAGUUCAGUGACACAUUCAGUGAAUUCAUGCUCAGUUGUACCACCUCAACCCUUGCCUCCAGGUGUUGAUGGUGACUGUCCGGAGAUGAUUGACCCAACAAUAUUGAGGUCAGUUUUACCUCCUCCCCCACCCCCUCCUCUUCUACGAUCACCUCCUCCUUUAACAAUUACAUCAAUGCUUCAUCCUCCACCCCCACCCCCUUUCCCCUCUCAUAGUAAAUCUGAAGUUUUAGGAGAAAUAUCAAAUCAACUGAAUGUUGAAGAAGAGUUUGCUGCUUCCAGUUCUCUUUUUGGUAAUCGUUCUUUUGACAAUGAAUCAGAUAUGAAUCAACCAAACUUCAGUAAUCGAAUGAAAGUUGACAGUUCGAAGAAGUCUGAUUCUAUAAAAACUAGUUUGAGAAAUAAUUUAAUCACAGUUGAUGUUGUAAAAAAUGUACCAAAGAAAGUCCCCCCGCCAAAAAAAAAGAGGAGGAGGAAGGUUAGGAAAGAAUAUAUAAAAUUAAAGGCUGAGCUUGAUAGAGAGUUAGAUUUACUUUGUAUUACCAAACCUCCAGGGAAAUCUACGACCAAAUCAGCUGGUAGUGCAAAUUUAACCAAAAAUAAACAGGGUAGGCCUAGUGUUAGUUCUGGAUAUGGAAAGCAUUGUGAAACCAGUCCAGAAAAGAUUACGCCUAAAGAUUACGAGAGCUCAUCGCCCAUUGUUUUGUGCAAAACAGAUUUGCCUGCAGAUAAUUGGACAGAUGGUGAUAACUCAGGAAACGUUUUACAAAAACAACAACACACAGGGAUUGACGCUGAAGAAAAUUUUAACUUCUCUGAUGAGUCCCCCAUGGCUGACAAUGAUAUAGAUCUUUCUGACAUGAUUGUUCUAGACGAAGUUGGAAUGUCUCCUGAACAUAAAUCUAAAUAUGAUAGCACACAUGACUACAGUUUUCCUUAUGAAGAUGAGGACGAGGACACUUUAAGGAUCCGUGCAUUAACAUCAUUAUCUCCUAAACCUCUCUUUAAAACACCAACCACUACUCCCCCUCAGAAUUCAUACCCUCAGACUGAACCUUAUGGUAGUUACCAAGGCAAUAAGGAAUACACUCAAAGGAAAAUAUUAGCUCCAGGAAAACCGAAAGAAGUUAUCAAGCGAAGAAAAGUCGUUGGUGAAACCUCAAAAUAUCGACUCACUCGAAUGAGUAAUGAUCGAAGGAGUGUGCUUCAUGGGAAAGAGACAUUAAAAGUUGUCGUCCCAACGAAUUCUCAGUCCCAUGCACCUGUGGAACAGUCUUUGCCAGUUGUACAGAGAUUAGUGAUCAAUGUAAAUAAAGAUUCCGACAGUGAAGAAGAAUGCGAAUGGACCAGAAAAAUACGAAUACAGGAAACCAAUACACUGCCACCUCUAGGACCGGUGGUAGACUAUGAGCUUGAACGCAGUAUAGACGAAUUGUUGAUGAGAGCUCGCAACAGCUCUGAAAACGUAUCUUCUAGAAAAAGUCAAGAUGUAAGAGCUCAAAGUUUCACACAGAAAAGAGAUCGUAGAAGUAGUACUGAUGAUGACUCGCUACAUGGCACCCCAAUGAAGCUGUUGCCCAUUGAAAAACAGGAAGAAUACAAACGUUUGAAAGCUAUUUUAGAACAGAAGGAGAGGGAAAGAAGGUUGAAGAGAAUUCCUAGGAAGGCAACAGAGACAUCUAAAUCACUUUUAAAACAGGUUCUUACGACAGAAAACAACAAACAGAUUAAAGAGAAUUCAAACCAAAACAUCCAUAGUAGGCCUAAUAGUAGCCAUGGGGACCUGAAUUUGGAUGAAAGGAUAUUAGAAAAUUACGGCUCAAGUAACCCUAGAAAUGUGAAUGUUAAAGAAGACUCCAUAAGCUCAGGUUUUAGUGAUGCAGAUGAAAUAAUCAGUUCUUUCCACCAUGAAGAAAAUAUUGCAAGGAGACUAAAUUCAGACAGUCAUAAUGUUCAGAAUGAACAAUUGAAGUCCUCGGAUCAAAAAAUUUGUGUGCCGACAGUUAACCUUAUUACUGAUAGAAAAAUUGAGACGGAUUCAAAAAAUCUAGAUCAGUCCCAAAGAGCCACCAACUCAGACUCAGAUGAAAGCAGAUCAAAACGGUUAAGUGUAGACACAACAACAGCAGCUAUGAAAGAGAAGUCAGAAAACCUAAGCGGGCAAAGAAAAAUAGUUUCUUCAGUCCAGAAAAAUAAUGCCACAAAUAGAGAAAAUAUAUCUAGUUACGAGUUGGAAAUGAACAAAGAAAAUUCACCAAAAAUAUCUUGUGAAUCUCAAUCUAGUUCUACAGUAGGUAACUUUUCCACAACCGGGGAUUUCUAUUUCAGCCAAACUACGGCAAGCGCUUCUGGACUUUUUGGGCUGAAUUCCGGAGACAUAGAACCCUGUAGUAGAGUCAAUAAUUGUGACAAUGAAAAUAAUGUAUCGACUAAAGAAACGCUCAGUGACAAAGUGGGUGAUGUUCGAGAUUUUUCUCCUGAUUCUGGUAAAUCCUCUGUAGAACAUUUUAAUAGACAUCAGUUUUUGAAUCCAGAAACUAGAUGUGAAAUACAGGUGGAGGAACAGAACGCGGAAUCCAAUUCAACAGAAAAUAUUAAAGAAACUCCUGCCCCAGAAGAUUUAAAAGACUCAAGUCAAUCAGACCCAAAACCAUGUUCUCAGGAAGAGUUGGGAGCCAAAAAAUCAGAACUGCUUAGUGAAAGAUUUGGAUUGCUGGACGACCUGUCGGAGAUGACCGAGUCACUGGAUGAUCUGGACAGUCAACAGCGCAGGUUGGAGCAAGCGGUUGUAGACAUUAGCGAGCUGCGCAGAGCACUGCAUGCCGCAGAAGACUCUCUGCAUAAACAGCUGUUGGUGGCUAAAGAUAGCGAGCAGAGACUCCGUGAUACACAUUCUGCUGUCAAUGUGAGGUGUUCGAACAUCAUACAGCUGGAGACUACGCUUCACCGUGCUUCUUUUGAAAUCCCCACAACAGCUCAGAAAUUGAUGACCAAGAAAGUCAAACAAGUGAAGGAGAAAAUGGACAAAGUAAGAGAAGGGCGAAGUAUAAUAAAGUCCUUAAUUCACAAUCCAGACAUAACCAAAGAAGAAUUGACAGAAAUGCAUGCUAACCUGUUAGAGAAAAAUUCUGGAAAUUCGGAACCAGAUGUUGAAGAUUGCAACAUUUUGUGGCUACAGGAUCCAAACGAAUUUAUGCUGGACGAUUUGCCUUUAAGUUAUAGCUGUGAUACUGAGAUUCAAGAAACAAAUGUUUGUUCUAAUGUUCUCGUAGAAGGUCAAGUAUUGCAUCAUCUGAAGGUCAAAAGGAACUGUCAAAAGGAAAGAAAUGUUUCAGGCAUGGUUGAUUGUACCGCUUCAGAGCUAAUUCCUGUAAAUACUGUUACAAGCGAGGACACUGUGCGUUUUAAAACCUGUGAUACUUCAAGAAAAUACAAUUCAGAAAACAGUGCUACAACAUUUGAUGUUUCAAUUUCUUCUGAAUCCAGCCAGCUACAGUCACAAAGUUCUUUGCAAUCAAUAAUAAUAAGUAAACAUGCAGAAGAUUCAGGUAGAAAAUCAAAAGAAUGUACAAAUGAAGAGCUUACCACUGAACGUUGUGCAAAAUCUUUUGAUUCCGAAGUCACUGAAGAAACGGUGAAAAUACAAAAUUUAGUGAAAAAUAAUAACACAUGUAAUAAAAUCAAAGUCUGUGAUAAAACUAGGAACAUUCCAUCGAAUGAAAGUGGCUCCGGAAACUCUGGACAAAGGUGCCAUUCUAAUAAUUCUGGAUCAUCUAAAUCAAAGCUCAAGUACAAAUCCAUUCUUCAGUUCAGGCAUCUGGGUUCCAGUGCCGACAAGGGUGCCAAUGACAAAACCAUUCUGUGUCCUUACGAUUUGACAGGGAGAUGCCAAGAUAAAGCUUGCAAGUAUCAACAUCUCCAUUGACCCCUGUAAAUAUACUUUAGAGUUAAGACUUUUACAGUUAUUUAUUUUUCAUUAUUAACAUCUAAAGUCAUAUGAUUUGUUAUUGUAAACCAUUAUACUCUCCAUUCUUUAUAUGUAUAGUUUAUAUUGCAAGUAAUGUCAUGUUCAAGUUCCUUUGGUUUAGUUUGUUAUUUGUUGAAAUUAAGUUUGCAUUUACCAAGUUGGUGGAAACUUGAGUUGAUAAUGUUAAGAAUUCAUUUGGUACCGGUAAGUAAUUUGUCGGUUGCGGAGUGACACUAACUAAGUGCUUAUCAUGAAUUGCAUCAACUUGACCAUUUGCUUGAUGAGUUUGAAGCCUCUGUUUCAGAAGCAGUGGGCAUGACUGCUGUGGUUCCGCAUGAAUAAGGUUGGUCAAAGCUCGGUAGAUUAUUCCAAAGCAUGGACUUUAGUAUCACAUGCCAUAGCAAGAAAGUUCGGAAGAAGAAAAUGUUUGGUGUUCUUUGCAAUUAGACGGAAGAAUGACUUUAGACUAAAAAAGAUAUUAGUCGGUGCUCACUCCAACUCUAGUGUUCAAGAUUUUCGGUUCAAGUUUGCUAUUCAAGAAGUGAAGAACAAUUGUGCAAGAUGUCGGCUUGAACAAGAAAUUUUCUGUGUGAAUUAAAAGUGAGAAUCAAGUGUGGAACUCAUAUAAUUUUGUUACCUUGUACUCAUAAAAGUACAUUAAAUAUUUAAGUGAACUGCCUAAAUACUUCAGGCAUAUAUGUAAUAAAAAGCUGUCUAAUUUUAUACCAAUAAAAUUAUUUGUUUUGUA